rnacentral:lncRNA from 1 species
GCGUGUUUCGGGUCGUAGUUUGCUCUGGGAGCCGGCGAGGCUCUGGGGCGGGCCGUUGACCUGUUCUCGCUCUCAGCCCGAGCUCCUGGUUCGGUGCCGCGCGCCGGGCGUCAGUGUAGGACAGAUGCACAUAGGCCAAGGACAAAAGCACGUCUACUGGCAACCGCAGCACUGCAGAGAAGUGCGGCUAAAACAGCGCUGGGGGGGCUCUGCCCCUUCUGCUGGCGGCUCCGCGGCGGAGGGCCGGUGGCUGCGGAGACGCCGUCCUUACCCCACGACCGGGAAGCAGAUGCUACACCGCGCGGCAGCGUUGGUGCUGGUGAGGAGGAUCGCGUGCAUGCUGUUUUCUUUGCCCUCUUAAUUUUCUCAGUGAAACACAAAACACAGUAAGAAUAGCACCGAGGAGAAUUUUGGGGACACAGUGAACAUUCAUAAAUACAAAUGUUUUUGUUAAUCUAACAAAGGCCCGCGCUGUAUCACGUGCCACGAAGGAGCCGAGGUGCUGGACAGGGAGGUGCUGCCUGUUCUGUAGGCUGCUGCCCCUAAGCGAGCCGCCCUUGGGAGCUCUGUCCUGGCUCUGCUUCAGCACUGCUUGACCUCCCGUCUUCUCCGCAGGAUGGGCCCUGGAGCCUGCAGUGUCCCAAGUGGAGUGCUGCCUGCAUGUCACACGUGAAGCAUCUACAGAUACAUGAGCAGUAACUCUCUGACCAGGACGGAAUGACCUCUCCAUGGGCACCGGUGGACACGCCGGUGAUAGGAUCCCCACUUAAAUCUCCGUGGCCCUCCAGGGACCUCCUCAAAGACUGGAGAUGGCUCUGGACCCAGGAUUUUCUGGGCUACCUCACGCAAAUGGUGUUCUCACGUGUGCACAGCUCCGGAGUUCCGAUUUUCCAAAGGUGACCCAACCAUCACAUCAUGAAAGCCAUCCACCCUGACGGAUCAAAGAGUUGCAAACGCUGAAUGAAACCAAGCAUCUCUGACACCCUGGGGGCCUUCUGGAAAUCGGUGCCGGCUCCCAAGGCCCUUUGUGACAGGAAACAGGCAGACUCCUCCUCUUUCAGGUCGUUCACGUACACUGGCGCACCUGCCAACGCACACCUGUACUGAUGUCUUUAUCCACAGCGCCUGAACCCAGCACGCUACCCAAACAGGAGCUAAUCUGGUCGCCUCCGUGAGCCUGAAUGACUGCAGGUGGCCACUCUCGUUAGCACCCUUUGUCCGAGCAGCGCCAGCAGCAGGAGCUGAAGCCACAGAGUAACCCAAAGGGCGUGCUGUCUUCGGGCUUCCAGCAUGUUCCGGUGGGACUCUGACGUCGAGCCGUGCCGGUGAGAAGCUUCAGGUGCGGUCUAAUGGAAAGCGAGUCAGCUCAGUCCCCACCGUCAAGUUUACCUGGGGCUCCCGUGGGGACCUAGGCACCUCAAGUCCAAGGGGGACGCCCGGACCUCCUCGUUCGUGGGUGUUCCUCUCUUUCUACCGCAUGAGAGGCGCUUGGCUUUUAUUGUUUCUCUUCCUUUUUGGCCUCCCCACGGAGUUCCAGAGCCAGGCACUGAAUCUAAGCUGCAGCGGAGACCAACUCUGCACGUGCGGCAAUGAUGGCUCCGUGACCACUGUGCUGGGCCGGGGAUUGAACCUGCAUCCCUGCUGUUGCAGAGACACCAUGGCUCCCUUUGUGCCACAGCAGGAAUCUCCAUCGUCUUUUCUUCUUAAGUUUUAGCCCAGGGCCCUCUGCUGUCUGAGGCCCUUCCACCUUACGACCCUGGGCAACGAGCAUGCUGGUCCUUGUGGUCUGGUUGAGGAGCAGAAACGGCUGUGGUGGGAAGGGGAGCAGAGGCCAUGGAUGUCGGAGGGCCUGGACCAGCUGGAGAGUCCUGGCGGCUGGAGGUGCGGCCAGGAGGCCCGGGCCCUGCGGGUCCUGCUGGCGGGCGGAUCUCCCUCCCUCCUGAGCGGUAGGGCUGAGCGCUGGCUGGUGGCGAAACGUGCUCCCUGAGCCCAGAGUCCGCAUCUCCAAACGUUCCUCUUUGCUGAAUUUUGCUGCUCUGACAAAUGGCUCUGCAGCUCCAGGGGCACGAAGCAAAAGCUUAUCUCCUGCUCAGUCCCCGUGGCCCUCUUGCACUGGACGAGGGCCCGAGAAGCCUUGCUCAUCUCUUGUCUCAGGUGGGCUUCCUUAAAAGCCAUCCUUGUGCUAAAGCUUCACGUGCAGGCAGUUAACCUGAGACGAGGGCAGGAAGUGCUGGUAGGGGAGGUGAGAGAGGAGGGAAGGGGCCACGUGCGGCUGCUUAUUUGGGGCAUGGAACCUCUGUAGGCAACAGGCCCAAGCCCAUGGGGCCCUGGGAGAAGGGGUAGAACUGCCCCCCCACCAAGGGCAAAGGUGCCCGCUCAGGGGCAGGGAAGCAUAGAUGGUGCCAUCCAUCACAGGCCCCAAGCUGGCAGCUCCCAGCACUUUCACCUGCUGAGACACCCAGGCCCAGCACCCAGACACAGCUGGGCUCCUGGGAGGAAGCCCAAACCGGAGGGACGCUGAGUAGGGGCACCAACCCGUCCACCCCCCUGCAGAACCGGGGUCCUGCCUGUCUUAGCUCGGCUGCCCUAACAAGACACCACAGACUGGAGGCGUGGACAGCAGGGUGGCUUCAGCCUUGUCUCUCUUCUCUGACCCAGCUUCUGCGUGGUUUCCAGAGGCAUCUUUCUAAAAGGCAGAUCCGGGGAGUUCCCGUGGUGGCUCAGCAGGUUACAAACCCAACCAGGGUCCAUGAGGACACGGGUUCGAUCCCUGGCCUCACUCAGUGGGUUAAGGAUCCAGCGUUGCCGUGAGCUGUGGUGUAGCUUGCAGGCUUGCCUCAGAUCCAGCGUGGCUGUGGUUGAGGCGCAGGCCGGCAGCUGCAGCCCUGAAUCAACCCCUAGCCUGGGAACUUCCGCAGGGGAGGCCCUAAAAAGGAAAAAAGGUAGACCCUCUCUUGGCAACCAGCUGCAGCAACACUUCCUGGCCUCCUGAUUGCCCCAGGAGAAAAUGUUUCUGCUUUACACAGUUUCAGGGGCCGUGGGGUCUGCUCCUCAUUUUCCUGCGAGCGCCCCUCUUCCCUGCGUUACUCCUAAACACCAGGCCGACGACGGAAUGGAUCUUGGCGCAGGCCCCCGGUCGUGCUCUGCACUCCAUCUGAGCGCUGGUCUCCUCUCUCUGCUUCUCUCAGGGCCCAGCCGGCGCCUCCCCAGCCACCCCCAGCCCCCUAUCCUCGCCCAAGGCUGCAUCAUCGCCCUCCCUGCACGCCUCCAAUGGGUCCCGCACACCCUCGCCCUCCCCGGAGCUGCGGGGCAGCACCGCACGGGUCUCCAGAGCUGGGGGCCUGGGUUCACAUCUAGCUCGGCCGCAGUGCAGCCUGGAGGCAGGACAGGUUCUCAACAGGGCGGAGCUCCGCCUCCGCCUCCUUCAGGCCCCACCCCCAUGGGGACUUCUGGAGGAUCAAGUGAGACACUGAUGGCGGUCCCCGAGGUAGCUCCGUGAGUGUCAGCAGUGUGAGCAGGGCUGGCCCUGUGGGCGAGCAAAGGAGCUCACGGUCACUCUGCUCGCCGCAGUCCAUCCUUCAGCUGCACAGACACGGACUCCCUGGAGGCAGGGCUGUGAUCCAUCCAGCCCUUGGUGUGGCCAGGGCCAGGGCUUGGGAGAGUCAGAAGCCGUGCUGGCCGCUCGCCACCCAGCUGUGGGAGUGUGCAAUUCCCAUGUGAAUUCACCUGGGCGGUUUCCCAUGCUCCUCAGUUUUGAUGACUACUUCGUUUUGCCUAAAAGACUAGCAAUUAGUGAUUUAUGUGCAAAGCCUCUGCUGGGUCAAGGCCAGGCCGGCAACUGUCCCACUAAUCUUCCUGCUCCCUCCCCCUCUCCCCAUCUGCCCUCUCCAUCCCCCCUCCCCCUCUCCAUCUGCCCCCCUCCUCUCCCCUCUUCCCUCCCCCUCCCUCCCAUCCUUCCGUAUUUAUUCAAGUCCCUGGUUUGGGUGUUAGGUGCUCAGGUAGAUGAAUGAGCUACCUGCCUGCCCUUAUGUUAUGGCCUUAUGGGUUAUCCCAGUUCUCUCCAAAGCAGACACCAUGGGUGUGAAAGGAGCACAAAGGUCAAAGGUCGAGAGGGUGAGAGGCAGCCCUGGUGACCAGGGAAGGUCUGGCUCCUGGAAGUGGGAGGGGCAGGUGCUGAGACGGCCUUGGGCUCUGCCAAAUUCCUUCCUUUCCGGUUGGACCGUGGCUGAAAUCGUGGCAUCGCCCCUCCGCCAUUGCUGAUGCGAGCCUCCCAGGUCGGCUUCACGACCAAAUAAAACAGUGGCUGCGGAGGCUCUCUGGAAGCCACAAAGGCGCGACGUGACUUCCAUUUAUGGGCUUCUAACUUCCCAUGAAAAUGAAAUUUUCGUUUAAACAUUUUUUACAGUCGCAAAGUUAAAACACGUGUGCUGAAAAAGUUGAGCCCCGCACCAACAGUGAACAUGCUGGAAACAUCUAGAAAGGAGGAAGUCUGGGCACAGAGGUGGGGCUGGGCUGAGCGCUGUGUGUUGCUGGCACGUUACAGACGCUCUCUGAGCCUCAGCUUCGCCAGGUUUACACCCGGAUGACACUGCUCUCUGCCUAUUGUGCUGGGAUUCAACAGUCUUUCCCAGGCACAGCCUCAUCGCAAGCAGUGUUGGCUUCUUCCGCAACCUGGUUUCAAAGCCCCGAGAAGCAUUAACUGAGCACGCGUGAUUCCCAGCUUUGCAAAGGCCAAAAACAUCAGGACUCUUGUUACGAUGCCAAGAGCGAUUUUCAUGGCAAACAAGUGAUGCUCUGCUGCCCUGUUUUGUUUGCUCAGGCUACUUAAUGCCUCCUAUUCAAUGUGUUUCAAGUCCUGCUUUCCAGGUUUGAAAACAAUCUGUGGUCAAAUACAGAUCAUAUAAAA